rnacentral:hammerhead_ribozyme from 1 species
AUCCAGCUGACGAGUGUAAUAUAGGACGAAACGCGCGUCCUGGAU